UACGUAGGUGGCAAGCGUUGUCCGGAUUUACUGGGCGUAAAGAGCGCGCAGGCGGCCUGAUCAGUCGAAUGUGAAAGCCCCCGGCUCAACUGGGGAGGGUCAUUCGAUACUGUCAGGCUAGAAGGCAGGAGAGGGAAGUGGAAUUCCCGGUGUAGUGGUGAAAUGCGCAGAUAUCAGGAAGAACACCUAUGGCGAAGGCAGCUCGCUGGAACGGUACUGACGCUGAGGCGCGAAAGCGUGGGGAGCGAACAGG
rnacentral:rRNA from 1 species